rnacentral:lncRNA from 1 species
UGUCAAUGGGAGUUAUCAGCAAGAUGAAGCUGUCAAUCAGACGGGGCUGUCAAUCAAAUGGGGCUGUCAAUCGGACAGAGGGUUGUCAAUGGGACAGAGGUGUCAAUCGGACAGGGCCGUCAAUCAGAGUCAUCAUGACGGUGACGCUGUCAAUCAGAUGGGGCUGUCAAUCGGACAGAGGUGUCAAUCAGACAGAGGUGUCAACCGGAGUUAUCAGCAAGAUGAAGCUGUCAAUCAGAUGGGGCUGUCAAUCAGACGGGGCUGUCAAUCAGAUGGGGCUGUCAAUCGAACAGAGCUGUCAAUCGGACACAGGUGUCAACUGGAGUUAUCAGCAAGAUGAAGCUGUCAAUCACAUUGAGCUGUCAAUCGGACAGGGCUGUCAACCGGAGUUAUCAGCAAGAUGAAGCUGUCAAUCAGAUGGAGCUGUCAAUCGGACAGAGGUGUUAAUUGGACAGGGCCAUCAAUCAGAGUCAUCAUCAAGGUGAAGCUGUCAAUCAGAUGGGGCUGUCAAUCGGACAGAGCUGUCAAUUGGACACAGGUGUCAACCGGAGUUAUCAGCAAGAUGAAGCUGUCAAUCAGAUGGGGCUGUGAAUCAGAUGCAGUUGUCAAUGGGACAGAGGUGUCAAUCGGACAGGGCCGUCAAUCGGAGUCAUCAUCAAGAUGACAUUGUCAAUCACAUUGGGCUGUCAAUCGGAC